GACGAACGCUGGCGGCGUGCUUAACACAUGCAAGUCGAGCGGUAAGGCCCUUUCGGGGUACGACGAGCGGCGAACGGGUGAGUAACACGUGGGUGACCUGCCCUCCAGCUCUGGGAUAAGCCUGGGAAACCGGGGUCUAAUACCGGAUAUGACUCCAUGACGCAUGUUGUGGGGUGGAAAGCCUUGUGCGGCUGAGGAUGGGCCCGCGGCCUAUCAGCUUGUUGGUGGGGUGAUGGCCUACCAAGGCGACGACGGGUAGCCGGCCUGAGAGGGCGACCGGCCACACUGGGACUGAGACACGGCCCAGACUCCUACGGGAGGCAGCAGUGGGGAAUCUUGCGCAAUGGGCGAAAGCCUGACGCAGCGACGCCGCGUGAGGGAUGACGGCCU
rnacentral:rRNA from 1 species